UACGUAGGGGGCGAGCGUUGUCCGGAAUCACUGGGCGUAAAGGGCGCGUAGGCGGUAAUAUAAGUCAGAUGUGAAAGGUGGGGGCUCAACCCCUAGAGUGCAACUGAUACUGUAUAACUUGAGUGUGAGAGAGGGAAGCGGAAUUCCUAGUGUAGCGGUGAAAUGCGUAGAUAUUAGGAGGAACACCAGUGGCGAAGGCGGCCUGCUGGGCUUUUACUGACGCUGAGGCUCGAAAGUGUGGGGAGCAAACAGG
rnacentral:rRNA from 1 species